UAUAAUGCAGUCGAGCGGACAGAUGGGAGCUUGCUCCCUGAUGUUAGCGGCGGACGGGUGAGUAACACGUGGGUAACCUGCCUGUAAGACUGGGAUAACUCCGGGAAACCGGGGCUAAUACCGGAUGGUUGUUUGAACCGCAUGGUUCAGACAUAAAAGGUGGCUUCGGCUACCACUUACAGAUGGACCCGCGGCGCAUUAGCUAGUUGGUGAGGUAACGGCUCACCAAGGCAACGAUGCGUAGCCGACCUGAGAGGGUGAUCGGCCACACUGGGACUGAGACACGGCCCAGACUCCUACGGGAGGCAGCAGUAGGGAAUCUUCCGCAAUGGACGAAAGUCUGACGGAGCAACGCCGCGUGAGUGAUGAAGGUUUUCGGAUCGUAAAGCUCUGUUGUUAGGGAAGAACAAGUGCCGUUCAAAUAGGGCGGCACCUUGACGGUACCUAACCAGAAAGCCACGGCUAACUACGUGCCAGCAGCCGCGGUAAUACGUAGGUGGCAAGCGUUGUCCGGAAUUAUUGGGCGUAAAGGGCUCGCAGGCGGUUUCUUAAGUCUGAUGUGAAAGCCCCCGGCUCAACCGGGGAGGGUCAUUGGAAACUGGGGAACUUGAGUGCAGAAGAGGAGAGUGGAAUUCCACGUGUAGCGGUGAAAUGCGUAGAGAUGUGGAGGAACACCAGUGGCGAAGGCGACUCUCUGGUCUGUAACUGACGCUGAGGAGCGAAAGCGUGGGGAGCGAACAGGAUUAGAUACCCUGGUAGUCCACGCCGUAAACGAUGAGUGCUAAGUGUUAGGGGGUUUC
rnacentral:rRNA from 1 species